GCCCGGUUAGCUCAGUCGGUAGAGCAUCAGACUUUUAAUCUGAGGGUCGUGGGUUCAAGUCCCACAUCGGGCG
rnacentral:tRNA from 2 species